rnacentral:lncRNA from 1 species
UAAAACCUAAUUCUUAUUCCAAUACUCAUUCAGCUCUCAAACUUAUAAUUUGUCCAUCCCCUGUCACUGUAUUUUUCACAAUCACGAUCAUUUAGGGUUUCAAAUUACCUUCUGUUUAAUGGUCUUAUUCCUUCAUCCAUUCCACCACUAGUCCGUCUAUCAUCCAUUCGUCUGACCAUCUCCUUUCGAGGUUUGUAUUUUAGCCUCUCUCUU